rnacentral:snoRNA from 1 species
UUCCAUGAAUCCGUGGGACCUGCCUCCUGUGGCAGCCUCCCUUCCUAGCCAUGGAAGAGCAACGUCUUGCUUUUUGGCAAAGCUUUCACUAUCUAAUUGGUGAAAGUAUCUGACUGGGGCAAGUAACACGU